rnacentral:rRNA from 1 species
CGCCGGUAAUUCCAGCUCCCAUAGCGUAUAUUAAAGUUGUUGCAGUUAAAAAGCUCGUAGUUGGAUUUCUGUUAAUAAUUUAUAUAAAAUAUUUUGAUGAAUAUUUAUAUAAUAUUAACAUAAUUCAUAUUACUAUUUUUUUUUUUAGAAGAAAAAUUUUUACUUGAAAAAAAUUGGGGUGCUAAAAGCCGGCUUACCCCUUGACACCUUC